rnacentral:rRNA from 2 species
UUUUCGCCGCAGCCUAACACAUGCAAGUCGAGCGGAUGAAGAGAGCUUGCUCUCUGAUUCAGCGGCGGACGGGUGAGUAAUGCCUAGGAAUCUGCCUAUUAGUGGGGGACAACGUUUCGAAAGGAACGCUAAUACCGCAUACGUCCUACGGGAGAAAGCAGGGGACCUUCGGGCCUUGCGCUAAUAGAUGAGCCUAGGUCGGAUUAGCUAGUUGGUGAGGUAAAGGCUCACCAAGGCGACGAUCCGUAACUGGUCUGAGAGGAUGAUCAGUCACACUGGAACUGAGACACGGUCCAGACUCCUACGGGAGGCAGCAGUGGGGAAUAUUGGACAAUGGGCGAAAGCCUGAUCCAGCCAUGCCGCGUGUGUGAAGAAGGUCUUCGGAUUGUAAAGCACUUUAAGUUGGGAGGAAGGGCAGUAAGUUAAUACCUUGCUGUUUUGACGUUACCGACAGAAUAAGCACCGGCUAACUUCGUGCCAGCAGCCGCGGUAAUACGAAGGGUGCAAGCGUUAAUCGGAAUUACUGGGCGUAAAGCGCGCGUAGGUGGUUCGUUAAGUUGGAUGUGAAAGCCCCGGGCUCAACCUGGGAACUGCAUCCAAAACUGGCGAGCUAGAGUAUGGCAGAGGGUGGUGGAAUUUCCUGUGUAGCGGUGAAAUGCGUAGAUAUAGGAAGGAACACCAGUGGCAAGCGACCACCUGGGCUAAUACUGACCUGGUGCGAAAGCGUGGGGACAAACGGUAGAAAAA